AGUGAAGGAGAGGUAAGUGGAAUCCCUAGUGUAGCGGUGAAAUGCGUAGAUAUUAGGAAGAAUACCAGUAGCGAAGGCGACUUACUGGCCUUUAACUGACGCUGAGGAACGAAAGCGUGGGUAGCAAACAGGAUUAGAUACCCUGGUAGUCCACGCCGUAAACGAUGAGUGCUAGGUGUCGGGUGUCAAAGCUCGGUGCCGCAGUUAACGCAAUAAGCACUCCGCCUGGGGAGUACGUACGCAAGUAUGAAACUCAAAGGAAUUGACGGGGACCCGCACAAGCAGCGGAGCAUGUGGUUUAAUUCGAAGCAACGCGAAGAACCUUACCAGGACUUGACAUAUAGAUGACAGGUAUGGAGACAUACUAUUUCUUUCGAGAACAUCUAUACAGGUGGUGCAUGGUUGUCGUCAGCUCGUGUCGUGAGAUGUUGGGUUAAGUCCCGCAACGAGCGCAACCCUUAUUUUUAUUUGCCAUCAGGUAAUGCUGGGAACUAUAAAGAGACUGCCGAUAAGAAAUCGGAGGAAGGUGGGGAUGACGUCAAAUCAUCAUGCCCUAUAUGUCCUGGGCUACACACGUGCUACAAUGGUCGUUACAGAGAGCAGCGAAAUAGUGAUAUCAAGCAAAUCUCAAAAAGGCGAUCUCAGUUCGGAUUGUACUCUGCAACUCGAGUACAUGAAGUCGGAGUUGCUAGUAAUCGCGGAUCAGAAUGCCGCGGUGAAUGCGUUCCNCGGGUCUUGUACACACCGCCCGUC
rnacentral:rRNA from 1 species